UACGUAGGGUGCAAGCGUUGUCCGGAAUUAUUGGGCGUAAAGAGCUCGUAGGCGGUUUGUCGCGUCUGCUGUGAAAACUCGGGGCUUAACUCCGGGCCUGCAGUGGGUACGGGCAGACUAGAGAGCGGUAGGGAAGACUGGAAUUCCUGGUGUAGCGGUGAAAUGCGCAGAUAUCAGGAGGAACACCGGUGGCGAAGGCGGCUUCCUGGACACUAACUGACGCUGAGACGCGAAAGCGUGGGGAGCAAACAGG
rnacentral:rRNA from 1 species